GAAGAUUUCUGGAAAGUGAAGGAGUUCCUGCAUAACCAGGGGAAGCAGAAGUAUACACUUCCGCUGUACCACGCAAUGAUGGGUGGCAGUGAGGUGGCCCAGACCCUCGCCAAGGAGACUUUUGCAUCCACCGCCUCCCAGCUCCACAGCAAUGUUGUCAACUAUGUCCAGCAGAUCGUGGCACCCAAGGGCAGUUAGAGGCUCGUGUGCAUGGCCCCUGCCUCUUCAGGCUCUCCAGGCUUUCAGAAUAAUUGUUUGUUCCCAAAUUCCUGUUCCCUGAUCAACUUCCUGGAGUUUAUAUCCCCUCAGGAUAAUCUAUUCUCUAGCUUAGGUAUCUGUGACUCUUGGGCCUCUGCUCUGGUGGGAACUUACUUCUCUAUAGCCCACUGAGCCCCGAGACAGAGAACCUGCCCACAGCUCUCCCCGCUACAGGCUGCAGGCACUGCAGGGCAGCGGGUAUUCUCCUCCCCACCUAAGUCUCUGGGAAGAAGUGGAGAGGACUGAUGCUCUUCUUUUUUCUCUUUCUGUCCUUUUUCUUGCUGAUUUUAUGCAAAGGGCUGGCAUUCUGAUUGUUCUUUUUUCAGGUUUAAUCCUUAUUUUAAUAAAGUUUUCAAG
rnacentral:lncRNA from 1 species